GAGCGCCCUUGGAGUGCGUAGGGGUCACUGCGCAAACAGGAAUCGGCGGAACGGCGGAUGAGAAAACCAAGGCUCGCAGAGACUGGUGACUUGCUGAAGACCACACAUCUAAUAAAUGGAAGAAUAGGACUAGAACUGGAUGGCCGGCAAUCUGAGAAGACGGUGGGUUAUGUACCCCAACAGACCAUCUUACACUCCCUUUCAAGACAGCUUUCUAUAAGGAAAAAAAAGUGUAGAUAAGGGAUUUGGAAUUCAAGUGGAAAAAAAGUGAAGCCCACAAGAUGGAAACUGACUACCUGAAGAGAUGCUUUGGAAAUUGCCUUGCCCAGGCACUGGCAGAGGUGGCGAAGGUUCGGCCCAGUGACCCCAUAGAGUACUUGGCUCACUGGCUUUAUCAUUACAGGAAAAUCACUGAAGCAAAAGAAGAGAAUAGUCAGGAGAAGAUCCAGUUGAAGGAGGAAUAUGAUAAUAGCCUCAAGGAAACCAAAAUGACAGAAAUGCUGAAGCAAGAAGAGUAUCAGAUUCAACAGAAGACCAUAUUCAUGCAGGAGAACACAGUAUUCCUUGAAAAGGAGCCUUUGAAGCAGGAAUGCCUGCCUGGUACCUCUAAUAUGAUUCCAGGGAUGCCUCAACAGAUUCCUUCUUCUGACUCAUCUGGCCAGACUCACUAGCAUGUCAAAACUCCACAAGAAGUAAAUUACUAGGCUUCUCAACGUGAAGUGCUCCUGAAAUGUAUCUUGACUCCAAAUCUCCUUCUUAGUUUAUCCGAAGGUGGGUAAUUAUAAUGAUGCUUCUCUCAAAGAUGCAAGCCAAAAACAUAGUCAUCUAGAAGAGCUCUUACCUAAAGAUGGUAACUGUGUGGAUUAAACCAAGAUUUGAGAGGCUGUGGAAGGAGGUAUCUGUACGGACUAUCCAGCUCAAGUUCUGUUCUGAUAGCCAUGAAAAUUCCUUAAUCAUGUAGAAAUUUGAACUGCUUAUAGAAUAAAAUAAACUCAUAAUAAUGAUUUAAAAUAAGUAACCAAAACUGGUAAAA